AUUGAACGCUGGCGGCAGGCCUAACACAUGCAAGUCGAACGAGUGGCGGACGGGUGAGUCAUGUCUGGGAAACUGCCUGAUGUAGGGGGAUAACUACUGGAAACGGUAGCUAAUACCGCAUACCAUCAGAUGUGCCCAGAUGGGAUUAGCUAGUAGGUGGGGGAAAGGCUCACCUAGGCUACGAUCCCUAGCUGGUCUGAGAGGAUGACCAGCCACACUGGAACUGAGACAAGGUCCAGACUCCUACGGGAGGAAGCAGUGGGGAAGAGUGCACAAUGGGCGCAAGCCUGAUGCAGCCAUGCGGCGUGUAUGAAGAAGGCCUUCGGGUUGUAAAGUACUUUCAGCGGGGAGGCGUUACCCGCAGAAGAAGCACCGGCUAACUCCGUGCCAGCAGCCGCGGUAAUUC
rnacentral:rRNA from 1 species